UGGCAGCAAUCGAAGGUUUCUUCCCAUCC
rnacentral:piRNA from 1 species